UACAGAGGGGGCAAGCGUUAUUCGGAAUUAUUGGGCGUAAAGGGCGCGUAGGCGGCUUUGCAAGUGGCGGGUGAAAUCCCUCGGCUUAACCGAGGAACUGCCUGCCAGACUGUGAGGCUUGAGACCGGGAGAGGUGAGUGGAAUUCCCAGUGUAGCGGUGAAAUGCGUAGAUAUCGUGGAGAACACCCGUGGCGAAGGCGGGCUUCUGGCUAAUUACUGACGCUGAGGUGCGAAAGCUAGGGGAGCGAACAGG
rnacentral:rRNA from 1 species